rnacentral:rRNA from 1 species
AGAACGAACGCUGGCGGCAGGCUUAACACAUGCAAGUCGAACGCCCCGCAAGGGGAGUGGCAGACGGGUGAGUAACGCGUGGGAACGUACCCUUCGGUUCGGAACAACUCCGGGAAACUGGAGCUAAUACCGGAUACGUCCUGCCCCUUAAACAAGGGUGGGAGAAAGAUUUAUCGCCGAAGGAUCGGCCCGCGUCGGAUUAGCUAGUUGGUGAGGUAACGGCUCACCAAGGCGACGAUCCGUAGCUGGUCUGAGAGGAUGAUCAGCCACACUGGGACUGAGACACGGCCCAGACUCCUACGGGAGGCAGCAGUGGGGAAUAUUGGACAAUGGGCGAAAGCCUGAUCCAGCCAUGCCGCGUGAGUGAAGAAGGCCCUAGGGUUGUAAAGCUCUUUCAGCGGGACGAUAAUGACGGUACCGCAGAAGAAGCCCGGCUAACUUCGUGCCAGCAGCCGC